GACGAACGCUGGCGGCGUGCCUAAUACAUGCAAGUUGAGCGCUGAAGGUUGGUACUUGUACCGACUGGAUGAGCAGCGAACGGGUGAGUAACGCGUGGGGAAUCUGCCUUUGAGCGGGGGACAACAUUUGGAAACGAAUGCUAAUACCGCAUAAAAACUUUAAACACAAGUUUUAAGUUUGAAAGAUGCAAUUGCAUCACUCAAAGAUGAUCCCGCGUUGUAUUAGCUAGUUGGUGAGGUAAAGGCUCACCAAGGCGAUGAUACAUAGCCGACCUGAGAGGGUGAUCGGCCACAUUGGGACUGAGACACGGCCCAAACUCCUACGGGAGGCAGCAGUAGGGAAUCUUCGGCAAUGGACGAAAGUCUGACCGAGCAACGCCGCGUGAGUGAAGAAGGUUUUCGGAUCGUAAAACUCUGUUGGUAGAGAAGAACGUUGGUGAGAGUGGAAAGCUCAUCAAGUGACGGUAACUACACAGAAAGGAACGGCUAACUACGUG
rnacentral:rRNA from 1 species